UCUUUUUUAGUGGAAGCAAGGGAGAGAAUUCUAUGUGACUUUUUUGUGAAGAUUGUGUUUUGUGAUAGUUGUUUUCCACUAAAUACAAUUUUUUUUUAUAGUUCUUUUCAUUGAUUGCGUAUUUUCUUUGUUACGACAUAAUAGUUGCUGAAGCAGCUGUUGUUAUAUUGUCAUCACUUUUUGUGGCUAUUUGGGGAAUUUUUAUGUGAAG
rnacentral:misc_RNA from 1 species